rnacentral:rRNA from 1 species
GACGAACGCUGGCGGCGUGCUUAACACAUGCAAGUCGAACGGAAAGGCCUGCUUUCCCUUGUGGAUUGCGGGUACUCGAGUGGCGAACGGGUGAGUAACACGUGAGUGAUCUGCCCCCAACUUGGGUAUAAGCCUGGGAAACUGGGUCUAAUUCCCGAUAGGACUGCAGGGUGGUGCCUGUGGUGGCAAACGAUCUUCUAGUGGUUGGGGAUGAGCUCGCGGCCUAUCAGCUUGUUGGUGGGGUACUGGCCUACCAAGGCGGCGACGGGUAGCCGGCGUGAGAGGGUGGACGGCCACAUUGAGACUGAGUGACGGCCCAGACUCCAACGGGAGGCAGCAGUGGGGAAUAUUAGACAAUGGGCGGAAGCCUGAUGCCGCGACGCCGCGGGGGGGAUGCCGGCCUUCGGGUUGUAAACUCCUUUCGACCGCGAGGAAGCCACCUGGUUGGAAGGGUGGUGACGGUAGUGUUAGAAGAAGCACCGGCUAACUACGUG